AGCAGCAGCCGCGGGAAUACGUAGGUGGCAAGCGUUGUCCGGAAUUAUUGGGCGUAAAGGGCUCGCAGGCGGUUUCUUAAGUCUGAUGUGAAAGCCCCCGGCUCAACCGGGGAGGGUCAUUGGAAACUGGGAAACUUGAGUGCAGAAGAGGAGAGUGGAAUUCCACGUGUAGCGGUGAAAUGCGUAGAGAUGUGGAGGAACACCAGUGGCGAAGGCGACUCUCUGGUCUGUAACUGACGCUGAGGAGCGAAAGCGUGGGGAGCGAACAGGAUUAGAUACCCGGGUAGUCCCUGUCUCUUAUAC
rnacentral:rRNA from 1 species